AUUUUGCUAAAAACAACAACAACAAAAAUGCAUCUUGGCUUAUUUCACCCUAAAUGUGGUAGAAAUCUCAUUAAGGCACACAUAAUACAUUCAUUCUUCCCUCCUAUCACUCUAACCUGGUACAAACUCUACAGUACAUUGCGUGAUGUAGUUUAGCUGAAAUUACAUU